rnacentral:rRNA from 1 species
UACGUAGGGUCCAAGCGUUAAUCGGACUUACUGGGCGUAAAGCGUGCGCAGGCGGUUGUGUAAGACAGAUGUGAAAUCCCCGGGCUCAACCUGGGAACUGCAUUUGUGACUGCACAGCUGGAGUGCGGCAGAGGGGGAUGGAAUUCCUGGUGUAGCAGUGAAAUGCGUAGAUAUCAGGAGGAAUACCGAUGGCGAAGGCAGGUCUCUGGGCUGACACUGACGCUCAUGCACGAAAGCGUGGGGAGCAAACAGG